rnacentral:rRNA from 1 species
GACGAACCGUGCGAGCGUUGUUCGGAAUCACUGGGCUUAAAGGGCGCGUAGGCGGGCCCGCAAGUCAGGGGUGAAAUCCCACGGCUCAACCGUGGAAGUGCCUUUGAUACUGCGGGUCUGGAGGGAGGUAGGGGCGUGCGGAACUUCCGGUGGAGCGGUGAAAUGCGUAGAUAUCGGAAGGAACACCGGUGGCGAAAGCGGCGCGCUGGACCUCUACUGACGCUGAGGCGCGAAAGCCAGGGGAGCAAACGGG